GAUGAAGAACGUAGCGAAAUGCGAUAAGUAAUGUGAAUUGCAGAAUUCAGUGAAUCAUCGAAUCUUUGAACGCACAUUGCGCCCCCUGGUAUUCCGGGGGGCAUGCCUGUCCGAGCGUCAUUACAACCCUCAAGCUCAGCUUGGUGUUGGGCCCCGCCGCCCCGGCGGGCCCUAAAGUCAGUGGCGGUGCCGUCCGGCUCCGAGCGUAGUAAUUCUUCUCGCUCUGGAGGUCCGGUCGUGUGCUCGCCAGCAACCCCCAAUUUUUUUCAGGUUGACCUCGGAUCAGGUAGGGGUACCCGCUGAACUUAAGCAUAUCAAUAAGCGGAGGA
rnacentral:misc_RNA from 1 species